rnacentral:misc_RNA from 1 species
UGGAGAAGUAUGUUAAGGUUGGGCAAGUUGUUUCAGAAAAGACGACGAACGGAGAGAAAACUGCAAGCAAUGAGAAAACUGAAGAGGGUUCAGAAUUGCAUCAGAAAGAAGCACAGCCGGAUGAGGGCACUGAAGAAGGUGUAGAGAAGAAUUGAUUAACUCCGUCCACGGGUUAUUUCUAGUUAUUGAUUUUCAUCGCUCCCUUGUAUCCCUUGUUGUGUGCUAUCAACUAA